CCUACGGGACGCAGCAGUGGGGAAUAUUGCACAAUGGGGGAAACCCUGGUGCAGCGACGCCGCGUGAGCGAUGAAGUAUUUCGGUAUGUAAAGCUCUAUCAGUAGGGAAGAAAAUGACGGUACCUGACUAAGAAGCCCCGGCUAACUACGUGCCAGCAGCCGCGGUAAUACGUAUGGUGCAAGCGUUAUCCGGAUUUACUGGGUGUAAAGGGAGCGCAGGCGGCACGGCAAGCCAGAUGUGAAAGCCCGCGGCCCAACCGCGGGACUGCAUUGGGAACUACCGGGCUGGAGUGCCGGAGAGGUAG
rnacentral:rRNA from 1 species